CUGCUGAUUGGAAAUGAUAAAACACUGGACAAGCCCCUUUUUAGACUAUCUAGACUUAUAAAAGACACAAACAGAGACUCUGGGGGUCACUUUUCUUUCCCUGCAGAGGAAGAGACUGCAGUAUGGGGCACUUGACAGCUCUUUUUCUGACCCUUGUGGUGUAUUUGGCUCUUUGUGACGGCGCCCCCACGACUGCAUCACCAGAAGACCAUCAAAUAGCAGAGGCAUAUCUGUCACAGUUCUACAGGGACACUAAUGCAACUAAAUCCCGCGGCAGAAUGAUGUUCCUUCCAGAUCUAGAAAGUGAACUGAAGGCCAUGCAGACGUUUUUUGGACUGGAGGUCACGGGCAAGCUGGACUCAAACACUCUUGAGACAAUGAAGCUGCCACGCUGUGGAGUCACUGAUGUUGCCAAAUACGGCCACUUCCAGGGGAGUCCCAGGUGGAAGGAGAGUGUUGUAACAUAUAGAAUUACUGAAUAUACAUCACAGUUGAGCCAGAGAGAUGUGGAUGCUGUUAUUGCCAAAGCUUUCCAGCUCUACAGUGAUGUUAUUCCACUCGAUUUCAAACAGAUCUACAGUGGCACAGCUGAUAUCAUGAUUCUCUUCAAGGCUGGAUAUCAUGGAGAUUUUUACCCAUUUGAUGGGCCUAAUGGGGUUCUGGCUCAUGCCAACUCACCCGGUCCGGAGCAAGGAGGAGACACACACUUUGAUGAUGAUGAGACGUGGACCCUAAGUUCACGAGGUAUAAACCUGCUUUUGGUGGCUGCUCAUGAAUUCGGACAUGCACUGGGACUAGAUCACUCCAAUGACCCUUCUGCUCUCAUGUAUCCAACUUACAAAUACGUCAACACGAAUGGCUAUACACUUCCCCGUGAUGACCGACUUGGGGUCCAGGCCCUGUAUGGUGUUCGAACGUCAACAGAUCAACCUAAACCUGACCCAAAACCAAAUCCUGGACCAAGCCCACCAGAACCAUGCAAGCGUGACUUAGUAUUUGAUGCAGCAACCAGCAUUCGUGGAGAAUUGUACUUCUUUAAAAAUGGGUAUUACUGGAAAAAGGGUUACUACAGUGGACUUUCAAUGCAUGAAAUAAAAUCUACCUGGCCAUCCAUCGACUCUGUUGAUGCCGCUUAUGAGUUCAAUGGCAGAGACAUUAGCUUCCUUUUCAAAGGUCAGCAGUACUGGGCAGUAAAAGGCAGCACUACUUUGCCUGGAUAUCCCAAACCCAUAUCCAAAUUCGGGUUUCCCACAAAUGUGAAAAAGAUUGAUGCAGCUGUAUAUGUGAAAUCAACCGGCCGCACUUUGUUCUUUGUUGGAAGCAAAUACUGGAGCUUCAAUGAAAGAACAGCUCAGAUGGACAGAGGCUUUCCUAAAACUAUUCAACGUCAUUUUCCUGGCAUUGGUUCACAGGUGGACGCUGCUUUUGAAAAUUACGGUUAUCUGUAUUUCUCAGAAGGUCCAAGGCAAACGGAGUAUGAUUUCACCUCAAGACAAGUGAAACGUGUUCUGUUGAACUAUGGAUGGCUGAACUGCUACUAAACAUUGAAUUGAAAAUGUAGACAUUUUCUCAUCAGUAUUCCUAUGUACCUAUAUUUUAUAUUUUGUACAGACAAAGCCACAAUGUAUGAUUUUUUUUUUUUUUUUUUUUUUACAAAUAUAUAAAACUAAUAUUCACAAAAACUUGUUCUAAGUCAUCUUCUAAUAUAAUAAAUUAAAAAAAAAAAUGAAAAAGCAAUUUUCUAUAUGUAAAUUAGUGGUAUUGCAAUCAAUAUAAUUUAUUUACCUGUUCAAAAAUACAUUAAAAUACUCUUUUAUAAUGAAUAUGUUUCAGUUUCUGAAUCUAAGACACUGUGGAGUGUAAAGUCAAAAAUGUCUAGGUGCUGUAACUGUAAGAUUAUAAAAAAUGGUAUUUAUUAAAGUCUCUUAUUAAAUAGUGGUAUACAUAGUUUGGCAUAUUUAGGCCUAAUCUUUUACUAAUUCUUAACAAACAAUAAGCAGUGAAGCAAUUUUGUUUUAUAUUAUUAAUAUCUGUUUUUUUUUUUUCUUUCUGUCAAAUCAAAGUUAGAGAGGACUGUGUGUCAAAACCAAAAAGCAUAUUUAAACCUUUUAUGAAAAGGCACAUUUUGUUCAGGUGAAAUGAAGUAGGCUAAAUCAAAGAAAACUUAUAAAAACCUUUGUAAGAUGUAUGAAACCAACAUGGAGACAAAUAUUACAUUUCUUAGAACUUUAUACAAGUGUGUUUAACUAAAUUUCACCUAUAAAACCUUUUUCACCCAUGUCAUGUUCUCUUUUCACGUUUUACAACAACUAUGACAUAAACUACACCACCCAUAAUGCUUCGGGCCGUCGCCAUGUGACGCAGACACACCUCUUACUGUGAUUGGCUGCUCACUGCAAGAGUUCGUUCCACUCACUCGGAGGGUUGAAGGUGAAAAUUGCUCUUCGGUGUAUGCAGUUUUCCAUCGCGAUAAUGACAUCCAGUGCACUUUACAGUACACGCACAAACCUGUGCAGACAUCUGGCACAUAAAUAUUUGAGUAGGACCUACAGCACAAGACCAUCUCUAAAU